CAUUGUCAGUCGAGUUUAAUUCCGAUAUGUUUAAACUUUUGGGAAAUAGAUCGUAAAUCUUCCAGAAAUCUAUCCCCAAAUACAAAUCUUGCUUAAGCGACGGUACAAUGUAAAUUUUCAGUAGCUUCUUUACCUCGGCGUAUUCGACCUCAGCAUUAAAAUACCCUAUUAUUUGCUGUGAUCUGCCAUCUGCUGUUUUAGCAUGACUGUUUAUGGCUUUAUAAACCCCUUGGACUACUACCUCGCAAGCUAAGUUACCUCCUAGACAAAUUAUUGAUGCGCCAGAGUCUAAAAGGCCGUAGACCGUACGAUCCAGAACGCGAAUUGGCAAAAACGGGCGAGGAUUUUUUGACCCAGCAGAAUGCUUUUAUUCUACUAGAACUUCGAGAUUUACGCUUUUCUAAGUCUUGGUGACCUUCACAUUCAGGUAUUAUUAUGUUCUUCAGUAUUUGGAUUUUGCUAUGUAGCAAAGGACUAGCAGGUAAUAGUUGUUCGUCAGGGAUUGAAAGUUGUGCAACGUCAGCUGCAUAUUCUACUCUUCUGUCAUUGUGGCUUGGCUCCGGAAGGCACUCGAAGUCUUCUGUUUGAAUUGCGACUUCGGCGUGCCGGCUUUGGAGUUUUUUGAACACUUACUGCAACUUGGCUUUUCCAACAUAAUAAGGAAAACGCUUCGACAUCAUCCUCACAUUCAGGUUCUGAAUGUAAUUGAGUUUCAUAUUCCUGACUGAAUUCGGACACUUCCCGUUUAAAAGGAGUGCUUCGCAUGUAUCCACUGCAACGCUUGACGUCAGCAAGAAAGGCUUCGCGCCUGCGACAAAUCUCCCUUAAAUCGGACACUGUAUUUAUUUCAAUAUUUAGAAUUUCAUGUCUUAUUUCUGGACGCAAAUUAUUUCUAAGAACUCGAAUUAAUUUACUCGAAGUCCAAGGAUGCUCCAGCUGAUCGACUAAGCCAGAUAUUGUAUCGUAAAAACAAUCAAAAGACUCGUUUGGCUUUUGUUUUGUGUUACGAAUCAAUUCUUCGAUGUCGCCAUCAUCUCUUCUUUGGCGAAACUGGAGACGCAAGGCUGAA